UGCCCUAGUAACGGCGAGUGAAGCGGCAACAGCUCAAAUUUGAAAGCUAGCCUUCGGGUUCGCAUUGUAAUUUGUAGAGGAUGAUUUGGGGAAGCCGCCUGUCUAAGUUCCUUGGAACAGGACGUCAUAGAGGGUGAGAAUCCCGUAUGUGACAGGAAAUGGCACCCUAUGUAAAUCUCCUUCGACGAGUCGAGUUGUUUGGGAAUGCAGCUCUAAAUGGGAGGUAAAUUUCUUCUAAAGCUAAAUAUUGGCGAGAGACCGAUAGCGCACAAGUAGAGUGAUCGAAAGAUGAAAAGCACUUUGGAAAGAGAGUUAAAAAGCACGUGAAAUUGUUGAAAGGGAAGCGCUUGCAAUCAGACUUGUUUAAACUGUUCGGCCGGUCUUCUGACCGGUUUACUCAGUUUGGACAGGCCAGCAUCAGUUUCGGCGGCCGGAUAAAGGCUCUGGGAAUGUGGCCUCCACUUCGGUGGAGGUGUUAUAGCCCAGGGUGUAAUACGGCCAGCCGGGACUGAGGUCCGCGCUUCGGCUAGGAUGCUGGCGUAAUGGUUGUAAGCGACCCGUCUUGAAACACGGACCAAGGAGUCUAACAUCUAUGCGAGUGUUCGGGUGUCAAACCCCUGCGCGUAAUGAAAGUGAACGGAGGUGGGAACCCGCAAGGGUG
rnacentral:rRNA from 1 species